GCUGGCGGCGUGCCUAACACAUGCAAGUCAAGGGGAAAGUUUUACUUCGGUUUAACAAGUAUACUGGCGGACGGGUGAGUAACGCGUAGGCAACCUGCCCUUUUGAAUGGGAUAACCCAGCGAAAGUUGGACUAAUACCAUAUACGACAUAUUAAUCGCAUGGUUGAUAUGUGAAAGGCUGCUCUUCGGAGCAUUCACAAAAGGAUGGGCCUGCGUUCCAUUAGUUAGUUGGUGAGGUAAAGGCUCACCAAGGCAGCGAUGGAUAGCUGGUUUGAGAGAGCGAUCAGCCACACUGGGACUGAGAUACGGCCCAGACUCCUACGGGAGGCAGCAGUGAGGAAUAUUGCGCAAUGGAGGAAACUCUGACGCAGCAACGCCGCGUGGGGGAUGAAGUUCUAUGGAGCGUAAACCCCUGUAAGUAGGGACGAACCAUAAAUAUUCGAAUAGGGUAUUUAUUUGACGG
rnacentral:rRNA from 1 species